GAGGGGGAGGAGGGAGUUCAAAUCUGCGCCCCACCUGCUCUCGCCCCACAAAUGCCCCAUACGCCGAACGUCCGCCAUCUGUCCCUUCGCACGCUGUUAGCUUGUCCCGCAUGCGGGGCUAACGGAACGGCCGUUAGCUCGUCUCCCGACCCCUCGUUCUUCUCCCUUCACCCCAGUUAUCUUCUCCUUUUUCGACACCGACGACCUACAACGACAACUGGCGAUCAUCCGGAGGUUGAAACUCCUCUGACGAGAGCUCCGGAGGAGUAYGACGAGGAUGAUUUUGUUAUCUCUAGAUUGACUUGAACUCCGCAGCGGAGGGAUUGGACGGAGGUUCCAACGGAAUAUUCCUUUCCAACCGAGAAACCACUGGUUUCUGUGGUAGGAAAAUCGUCAGAGCUAGCCCUGAAGGUGGAAGGGCAUUACGGGUGACGAAGCCGAAACGAAACGAUACGCUGGAGAACACGUGGAAGAUGAUAACGGCCGGCCGGCCAAUGCCACUGACGAGGCAUCUGAAGAAGCCGGAGAUGUGGGAAACACACGGUCA